rnacentral:lncRNA from 1 species
UCGGCAUCGAAGAAACCCGUUCAUACUUCAAGAACCAGAAUCAAUUCGAGCGUGAAGGACGUACCUGAAUCGUGAUGCGUGCGUUGUAUCGUGGCGAAGAAUGGAAGAUGAUUCAUGAGCUCUUAUGGUGCAUUGUGUUGUGCGUUUCGACGCGACACGAUGAAGAGUAGAGGUGGAGGUGUGCGUUAUAGAUUUGCGACAAAGACGCUGCGGCAUCUACGAUUGCGAAUCGAUUGAGAUAAUGAUGAAGCCUCCGUUUACGCCGAUGUGACUCGCUUCUUCCAGGUAUGCUCUUCUUCCGAUUUUGUUUGGAUUCUGUUUUUGCUUUUCAUCCCUUCAUCUGCGCGCUUCUGUUUCCGUUACAUCUUGGCUUCCAUUUGAGACGGAAUUUCAACCUUCGUUUGCAGGUUCUUGCCGUGAAAAGAAUCUAGGUUGAAGAAACGGUUAUGUCACGAUCAGGUUUCAACUAUUGGAAGCGGUUGAGGAUUGAAGGCUGAGAACUCGGUUGAAGGUGAUGGAGAAUCGAAUUGGAGCUUGGUUGAGGGUGAAGCCGUGUGAGGAGAAGAGUAAAGUUAUUAGCGUGAGUUUUGGGUUAUGAUGGAGAUGGAAGAAGAAAACUCCCCCAGGCGAAGAAUCAGUUAUCAGUUAUAUGGAGGUUGUUGAAGUUGCUGCAAGGUUCUGUGAAGUUUCUCUAUUAAAAGUUCAUUAGAGAGGGAACCUUUUUUUAUUAUAUAGGUUGGUGGUGAUGGAUUUGGUUCGUGAAGAAGAUUGAUGGAUGGGAAUUGUUCUUGAAAGGUUUUUGGGGGUUUUCUAUUCGGUUGGGGAAGUUUUGUGGAAUACGGUUACGGUUGUUAGGAAUCGGUUAGAGUCAUCGUGAACUUUUGUUAGAAAAAUUUUGUUAUCAAUAUUUCACUGCUUAGAAAUUUUGAUUGAUUAAAACUCUGUUAUCCUUUCUUGCAGUUAAUUUUUCUGCUGCCAUUUUUAUGCAGGAAAUUAGUGUUGUUAUUCUUUAUGUUGCAGCUGGUUAUAAGUGUUGGCUUUCGGCACCGGCGUGCGGCAUUUUGGAGUGUUGGCUUAAAUUGCAGCUUUGAGUUUGGAUUGUAGCUGCGUUUGUGCAUUUGUUGGCUUCGCCGUUUUGCUUAUUUUGUGCAGUAGCAGCUUGUAGUUGUUGCGUCUUGCUGCGUUAUUGCUGUAGUUUUAGUUUUGCCAUUCUUUCUUUCUCUUUUUCUCUUAUUUCAUGUAACGCAACUUUUCCGUUAUUUUUCUGGUGUAGCAACUGGUAUAAAUCUCUUUCCAUAUGCAUUUUGGAAACUUGGAUGCAUUGUCUCACAUGCUGUACUUUAUUAAACUACUUAAAAAUGGCUAUGUGAAAAAAAAAGUGGAUUAUGGAUCUAGAUGCUUAUCUGGAUUUUAAAAUGGAUUGGAUAAAAUGGAUUGGAUAAAAAUGGAUAUAUACAAAAUGGAUUUCAAUCUUUGGAUAAUGGAUAAUGACAUUAACUAAAUGGAUAUGGGUAAUUGGUCUUAAUGGAUUUUAAUCGGAAAAUGAAU